UAGGGAAUCUUCCACAAUGGACGAAAGUCUGAUGGAGCAACGCCGCGUGAGUGAAGAAGGGUUUCGGCUCGUAAAACUCUGUUGUUAAAGAAGAACAUGUCUGAGAGUAACUGUUCAGGUAUUGACGGUAUUUAACCAGAAAGCCACGGCUAACUACGUGCCAG
rnacentral:rRNA from 1 species